GUCACUGUGAGGAGGAAAGCCCAUAGAUAGGAAGUGCUGAAAGACACUCCAAACAGUGGUGUUGACAGCUUGCACUCUUUCCCUCUGAAUCUCAACCAUCUGAUCACAUCUUAGGGUUCUUUCAUUUGUUGGGAUUUUGUGGAUCUGAUGCUCUGCUGUGUGUGAUUUGAAAUGGGUCUCCUGAGGGUC